rnacentral:lncRNA from 1 species
AUGGAUGGAGGAACUUCAUGGGGGCACGGAUGGUUUCAAAUACAGUCACAUCCAAUCCCUCCAAGAUGUAUUUUGUCCUGGCAUCAUAUUUCCUGGCAUUUGCCUAGUGUGGCCUGGAUAAGCAAGGGUUACAUGUUGAACCAAAUUCAGCUGAGACCUCUGGGUGUUACUGACCCAACCUCUACACUUUGGUCGGCUAUUUUCGCAGGGGUAAAAUCUAGAGCUGCUAAGAUAGACGAAACCAUGACCAUGACAAGCACGUGGACCAGGCCACAAUUGUACAAAGGGGACAUUGAUGCUAAGGAUGUAAGUGACUUGCUGAGAGCAGGGCAAAAACCCAGAGCCUUCCUGGUCAUUUCACUGCAUCCCUAUGGCAGAGUGGCAUGUCUUGGAGCCAAGGCUUCAAAGUUCCAAAAAGGUGUGGGAGUUGUCAGGGGCAAAUGUGAUCUUUUCCUGGGCUGGCAGUGAAUCUAACCUUUCUUGUCAACACCCUGUUGCAACCCCCCCCCCCC